CAUUACCAAUGGCGGCCCACCUAAGAGAGUAACCACUGAUAAGUUAUCUAUAAAAUCAAGUGACUGUAGCCGCAUCUGGUCCAGCUCGGGCGUCUCUGAGACCAACUGCGGCUCAUCCACACCGGCGGUGGCGAAGCCCUGCCAAACUUGGAUGGCGCCACCGGCAGAAAGGUUCCUCCAUUUCCCUCUCCUUUUUCCUCCUCUCCCUCUCCUUCCUCCUCUCCUUUGUCUCGACCCCCCUCCUCAAUUUGUCUCCAAAUAAUGGCGCCAGCGGCCGGGAGUAGCUCGAGCUCUCUCCAGUAGCUCUCCUGGCCGGCCCCCUUGCUCAGGAGCUCCCCCACUCUUCCUCUCUCUGCGCUCCCCCCCCCUUCUCCCUUUCUCUGCUCCCCUCUCUCUCCCCCUCCCAUGAGCUCUCUCUCUCACUUUGUAAUGGAUAAUCCUCUCUCUCUCUCUCCCUCCGUGAGCUCUCUCUCUCACUCCCUCUGUAAUGGCUAAUUAAGCUAGCCGAACUAAACCCCUGGUGGUUAAGCUCCCGCAUUAAAAUAUUUGUUGAUUGUGCAUGUUGCCCGGCCAUCUCGCUGCAAAUGUCAUGCCAUAUUUGUGUUUUACUAUGUAACUUAUUGAUUCUUGUUGUUUAUCAUGUUUUAGGAGAGGUGCAUUAGGAUUAUCAUAGUGCGAUAAUUUCUCAGAACUUUUAUGAGAUUUUGCUUUAGAUCUAACCUCGUCAAAUAGUAAUUGAUUUUUCAUAACUAUUUUUGUUACCCCUAUAAAAUUCAAUUUACCAGAUAUUACUAAUAUGUUUGGUGCAUGGCUUGGAGAUUGGACAAACCAUUUAAAUCGCUUAUGCUUGUUCGAGCCUGUGCGAUUCGUCCGUCGAUUUGCAAUUGCAUGAAAGGUAUAGUUUUCACAAGAAAAAGGCUUCCAAUAUCUUGCAGGUUAUUCUUCGGACUGAGCACUGGAUCUAUACUUGGUUUCGGACGGAUGCAGUAGAGUCUUUGUAGUCUUGCUGCAGCCAGUUGAAGACGGUCGUGCAUUCUUCAACCGGUUCGGAUGGCGAGCCUGCGGCAGGCUAUGACGGGCGUGAUACCUUUUCUGGCUUGUUGUUGCUUUUGAGUUGUAAUAACUUUAAUAUAUACGUUUGUUCGAGACUUCAAUAAUAUAAAGGCAGUGUGCAUCGGUUGAUGCAGAGGCCGAAGACAUAGCUCAUUUUCAAUAAUAAUAAUAAAUUCAUCUAGUUCACUCUCAAUACGAGAUUCAUUUCUCUUGCUUGUGUCUCCUCCUGCUGGGAGAUAUAAGUUUUCGUUUUUCUUUUUUCUUUUUCAUCUCAGAAUUCAUAUAAGAUCGGAUACCUAGAGUGGUGUAUCACUACAUCACAACAACAAAAUGAGUAGCACCUCUAUGUGUUUUUUUUAGGGAUUUACCAGUGUCCAGUUAUAUGCAGCACCGAAAGUGAGAGCAAGGUCAUUGAAAGUCUGAUGCAAGUGAGUUGCAGUCUUACAUGCCUUUAAAACCAAGCCCUUCGAAAUUACGACCAGUGACACAAAAUAGGCAUAUCCCAUUAGUCGCUAUGGACUAGACGGUACUACAGUACCGGAACACCAUAUAGAAGAAAGUCUAGCGUCACAGUAUUUGAAAAGCGACAAUAUAUAUGGGCUGAUAAAUAGGUCCGCCAAGUCCCAAGUUUCUCUCAGGACUUCAUUGACCUCUUGAAAAAUACUAAAAUCUACAAAAUGCUCCAUCUGUUUCUAAUUAUAAG
rnacentral:lncRNA from 1 species